GCAGUUUAAGAAAACUGCUUCUUUACCUGAAACGCAGGCCCCGUUGACGACUGUAAAACUUGGCUUCGUUGUGCAUUUUCCUCCAGGAGCUAACGUUUGGCAACUCAGAGUGCAGGGAUCUACGACAGGAUAGAAAGAGCUCAGACAAGCCUGUGGGUCUCGUGGAGUAUGGAAAUCAUUAACAAGUAUUGAAAUGGAUGAUUCUGCCCUAAGACGCACCUAGUUCCAAUGCUGGAGGGAUUGGCCCAUCUUUGGGGUCACAACUGCAAUUACACGCUGCUCCUGAAAAAAAGAAGAAUUCACCGCUUUUUCUAAAUACAAGGAUUAUGAAAAUAAUUAAAAGAGAAAUAAUAUUGAUGGAUGGGUUGAAGG